CCAUCAGUAAGAAUCCUCCAAUCUUUUGAAGAAGCAAUAAUGGCUCUCUGGCUGAACCUCGUGUCCUUGUUACUUGUCCUCAAAGGUGUCCAAUCUGAGCUCCAGUUGGUGGAGUCCGGAGGGGAUGUGAGAAGACCUGGGGAGUCCCUCCGUAUCUCCUGCCAAGCCUCUGGAUUCACCUUCAGUGGCUAUUUCAUGGGCUGGGUGAGACAGGCUCCUGGGAAAGGACUGGAAUGGGUGGCAAAUACAUGGUCUUCAUAUAUUAACUACUCUGACAAAGUCAAGGGCCGCUUCACCAUCUCCAGGGAUGAUGCCAAAAGCCAGCUGUAUCUGCAAAUGAACAGCCUUAAACCAGAGGACACAGCAGUCUAUUACAAUGUGAGAGACACAGUGAGAGGAAAGUGGAAUAAACUACUAUUCCAGCUCAACAAGAAGUAA